rnacentral:rRNA from 1 species
UUAGAGGAAGUAAAAGUCGUAACAAGUUUUCCGUAGGUGAACCUGCGGAAGGAUCAUUACAGUAGUCGCCCGGGUUGCCGCAAGGCCUCCCGGGUAACCUACCACCCUUUGUUUAUCACACUUUGUUGCUUUGGCAGGCCUGCCCUCGGGCUGCUGGCUCCGGCCGGCGAGCGCCUGCCAGAGGACCUAAACUCUGUUUGUCUAUACUGUCUGAGUACUAUAUAAUAGUUAAAACUUUCAACAACGGAUCUCUUGGUUCUGGCAUCGAUGAAGAACGCAGCGAAAUGCGAUAAGUAAUGUGAAUUGCAGAAUUCAGUGAAUCAUCGAAUCUUUGAACGCACAUUGCGCCCCCUGGUAUUCCGGGGGGCAUGCCUGUCCGAGCGUCAUUACAACCCUCAAGCUCAGCUUGGUGUUGGGCCCCGCCGCCCCGGCGGGCCCUAAAGUCAGUGGCGGUGCCGUCCGGCUCCGAGCGUAGUAAUUCUUCUCGCUCUGGAGGCCCGGUCGCGUGCCCGCCAGCAACCCCCAAUUUUUUUCAGGUUGACCUCGGAUCAGGUAGGGAUACCCGCUGAACUUAAGC